rnacentral:lncRNA from 1 species
CUGUCCGGUUCUACCAAUGUUCUCUCCUUUCAGCAUUUGUUGGUACCCCAAUGAGUUUCCCCGUAAUAACCCCAGACAUUGCCUCAGGUACCUGAAGAAGAAUGCAGCUUUGAAGAUGGGGUGCUUAAUCCCAAGAAUCCCCACCCAUUUGGCCACAUCAAAUGACUUUGGUAUUGUAAUUUGCAUUUUGUAUGCGAAAGGUUCAAAAUACUUCAGGGGUAGGCUGGUGUUCGAUUUUUGCUAGAGAACAACCACUACUUUACCCCAGACUUUUACCAUGUCUUCAAAAAGAUGUAGCUAUCAGAGUGGCAAGAGUGCCCUGGGUGUGAUGUUCUCUUUCCAGGGACUUACAUUGCCAGCUGCAGUUUCUACAGCACUGCUGAUGAAGUGCAUAUAAAAACUUGGAUCCACAGAGCAUGAUAUGGGUCUAGCCUUCACCUGGGAUGGCAAUUAGACACUGAUUGAAUGCACAGACAUUUUCUCUUCUGAUGGUGAUUAUAACUGGGACUGGACUCUUCAAUAUUUGUAUCUUGGCUUCCAAAAUUCUGGAAAGCACUAGUUCCUCAAGUUCCUAGGGUUAUUCAUUCUGGAGACUCUAGUAUACUCUGCAAGAAAACCUGUAGGCCAUCCACCGGAAUGCCCAAAUGGAGUCACUCUUAAAUAACAAGCCCUGCAUGUUUCCAAAACCUCUAAUUAUCAGUGAAAAGUUUACUACGGCAGCCAUUUCGCCACCCAGGGCAAUUGGAGAAUGGCAGACACUAGGGACCAUUAAUUCUGUAAAAGCUGUAGAAGACUGC